rnacentral:rRNA from 1 species
UAAAACACUAACAUAAAAUGAUCCAUGAUCUGAUCAAUGAACCAAGUUACCCUGGGGAUAACAGCGCAAUCCAUUUCAAGAGCCCUUAUCGACAAGUGGGUUUACGACCUCGAUGUUGGAUCAGGGUAUCCUAGUGGUGCAGCAGCUACUAAUGGUUCGUUUGUUCAACGAUUAAAACCCU